rnacentral:snRNA from 1 species
AUACUUACAUGGCGUGGGUGUAAGCUUGAUCAAGUAGGCAGCUCGCCCAAGGCGAGGCCUUUGCAUUGCACUCAGCUUUGGCUGACCCUUGCGAUUUCCACUAAUGUUGGAAACUCGGGCGCACAAUUUCUUUGUGUUGGGAUCUGCGUUCGCGCUAGUCCCUA